UUAUUGUCCGCUUAAGGAUUGUUCCGCGCUUUUGAUUGAUGAAAAUGGUAAGGAUUCUGUUGUGAUUCAGUCUGAAUGCCCGGAGUGUAGGAGGUUGUUCUGUGCCAUGUGUAAAGUUGCUUGGCAUUCGGGGAUUGUAUGUGCUGAAUUUCAGAAGUUGAAUAAGGACGAGAGGGAAAGAGAGGAUUUGCAGCUUAUGCAACUUGCUAAGGGUCAAGAAUGGCAGAGAUGUCCGCAGUGUAGGAUAUAUGUCGCGAGAGCUUCUGGUUGCGCUCAAAUGGUUUGUAGGUGUGGAUGUAGCUUUUGUUAUAAAUGUGGAGCUAAGUCAGCUGAUCACCAUUGCACACGCUGUGGUAUAUUGAACAGAUUGUAGAUACCUCCAGAGGUGCAAAUGCGCGAUUUCUAGUUUUUCUUUUUUCGUCGCUCUAGGGGUAUUUUAGUGAUAGGUUCUUAUGGUAUAACUUGUUGAUAUUGAUUUUCAGAUUUUGUGAAUUAGA
rnacentral:misc_RNA from 1 species